rnacentral:rRNA from 1 species
UACGUAGGGGGCAAGCGUUUGUCCGGAUUUAUUGGGCGUAAAGAGCGUGUAGGCGGUUUGGUAGGUCCGUUGUGAAAACUCGAGGCUCAACCUCGAGACGCCGAUGGAAACCAUCAGACUAGAGUCCGGAAGAGGAGAGUGGAAUUCCUGGUGUAGCGGUGAAAUGCGCAGAUAUCAGGAGGAACACCGGUGGCGAAGGCGGGUCUCUGGGCCGUAACUGGACGCUGAGGAGCGAAAGCGUGGGGGAGCGAACAGG